UACGAAGGGGGCUAGCGUUGCUCGGAAUCACUGGGCGUAAAGCGCACGUAGGCGGCUUCUCAAGUCAGGGGUGAAAUCCUGGAGCUCAACUCCAGAACUGCCUUUGAUACUGAGGGCUCGAGUCCGGGAGAGGUGAGUGGAACUGCGAGUGUAGAGGUGAAAUUCGUAGAUAUUCGCAAGAACACCAGUGGCGAAGGCGGCUCACUGGCCCGGUACUGACGCUGAGGUGCGAAAGCGUGGGGAGCAACAGG
rnacentral:rRNA from 1 species